rnacentral:rRNA from 1 species
AUUGAACGCUGGCGGCAUGCCUUACACAUGCAAGUCGAACGGCAGCGCGGGAGCAAUCCUGGCGGCGAGUGGCGAACGGGUGAGUAAUAUAUCGGAACGUGCCCUGUAGCGGGGGAUAGCCCGGCGAAAGCCGGAUUAAUACCGCAUACGCUCUAACGGAGGAAAGCGGGGGUCGCAAGACCUCGCACUAUAGGAGCGGCCGAUAUCGGAUUAGCUAGUUGGCGGGGAAAAGCCCACCAAGGCUACGAUCCGUAGCUGGUCUGAGAGGAUGAUCAGCCACACUGGAACUGAGACACGGUCCAGACUCCUACGGGAGGCAGCAGUGGGGAAUUUGGACAAUGGCGCAAGCCUGAUCCAGCCAUGCCGCGUGAGUGAAGAAGGCCUCGG